CCUACGGGAGGCAGCAGUGAGGAAUAUUGGUCAAUGGACGAGAGUCUGAACCAGCCAAGUAGCGUGAAGGAUGACGGCCCUAUGGGUUGUAAACUUCGUUUAUAAAGGAAUAAAACGAGGCACGUGUGCCUUUUUGCAUGUACGUUAUGAAUAAGGAUAGGCUAACUCCGUGCCAGCAGCCGCGGUAAUACGGAGGAGCCGAGCGUUAUCCGGAUUGAUUGGGUUUAAAGGGAGCGUCGAGGGGUUGUUAAGUCAGUUGUGAAAGUUUGCGGCUCAACCGUAAAAUUGCACUUGAUACUGGCAGUCUUGAGUACAGUUGAGGUAGGCGGAAUUCGUUGUGUAGCGGUGAACUGCUUAGAUAUCACG
rnacentral:rRNA from 1 species